UCUUUUAUAGGGAAUAAAGUACGGGACGCGUCUGUUUUGUAUGUACUUAUGAAUAAGCAUCGGCUAACUCCGUGCCAGCAGCCGCGGUAAUACGGAGGAUGCGAGCGUUAUCCGGGAUUUAUUGGGUUUAAAGGGUGCGUAGGUUGGAGAAUAAGUCAGCGGUGAAAUCUCACAGCUUAACUGUGAAACUGCCGUUGAAACUGUUGUUCUUGAGUGUAAACGAGGCAGGCGGAAUUCGUAAUGUAGCGGUGAAAUGCAUAGAUAUUACGAAGAACCCCGAUAGCGCAGGCAGCUUGCCAGGCUACAACUGACACUGAAGCACGAAAGUGUGGGUAUCAAACAGGAUUAGAUACCCUGGUAGUCCACACAGUAAACGAUGAUUACUCGCUGUUUGCGAUACACAGCAAGCGGCCAAGCGAAAGCGAUAAGUAAUCCACCUGGGGAGUACGCCGGCAACGGUGAAACUCAAAGGAAUUGACGGGGGCCCGCACAGGCGGAGGAACAUGUGGUUUAAUUCGAUGAUACGCGAGGAACCUUACCCGGGCUCGAACGGCUAUGGAAUGUUUAUGAAAGUAAGCAGUUCGCAAGAACCGUAGUCGAGGUGCUGCAUGGUUGUCGUCAGCUCGUGCCGUGAGGUGUCGGCUUAAGUGCCAUAACGAGCGCAACCCUUACCGGGAGUUACCAUCUGGUCAAGCAGGGGACUCUUCCGGGACUGCCACCGCAAGGUGCGAGGAAGGUGGGGAUGACGUCAAAUCAGCACGGCCCUUACGUCCGGGGCGACACACGUGUUACAAUGGGGGGGACAAAGGGCAGCUACCGUGCGGGCGGAUGCGAAUCUCCAAACCCUCUCCCAGUUCGGAUAGGAGUCUGCAACCCGACUCCUUGAAGCUGGAUUCGCUAGUAAUCGCGCAUCAGCCAUGGCGCGGUGAAUACGUUCCCGGGCCUUGUACACACCGCCCGUCAAGCCAUGGAAGCCGGGAGUACCUGAAGUACGUAACCGCAAGGAUCGUCCUAGGUAC
rnacentral:rRNA from 1 species